rfam:Triticum aestivum genome assembly, contig: Triticum_aestivum_CS42_TGACv1_scaffold_433214_5DL
UUUAUACUCCCUCCGUCCGGAAAUACUUGUCAUCAAAAUGGAUAAAAGGGGAUGUAUCUAGACGUAUUUUAGUUCUGAGACAUCUUUUUUGUCCAUUUUAAUGACAAGUAUUUUCGGACAGAGAGAGUAUUUG